rnacentral:rRNA from 1 species
CCUGCCCACUGAUAUAUUUAAAUUUUAAUGGCCGCGGUAUUUAUGACCGUGCAAAGGUAGCAUAAUCAUUAGUCUUUUAAUUGAGGGCUUGCAUGAAUGGUUGGACAAGAGAAAAACUGUCUUCUAAAAUAAGGAUUGAAUUUAACUUUUAAGUGAAAAGGCUUAAAUGGUUCAAAGGGACGAUAAGACCCUAUAAAGCUUUAUAAAGAAUAUAAAAUUUAGAUUAAUUUUAUUAUUAAAAGUUAAGAUUUAUAUUAUUAUUAAGUUGGGGCAACAAGAGUAUAAUUAAAAAUAACUGCUAAAUUAUUUUAUACAAAUAUAAUUGUGUCAAGUUUUUAUGAUCCUUAUUUUAAAGAUUUUAAGACUAAGUUACUUUAGGGAUAACAGCGUUAUUUUUUUUGAGAGUUCUUAUCGAAAGAAAAGUUUGCGACCUCGAUGUUGAAUUAAAAUUUCUAUGUGGUGUAGUCAUUACAUAAGAGGGUCUGUUCGACCUUUAAUUUUUUACGUGAUCUGAGUU